ACACAGCUCCUACGCGGCAACGCACACAUAGAAGCAUCAAAAACAGGGCAUGGAAUUGGCCCAAAACGCCACACCCACAAGAUCACAUCAGCCUUCACUCCCCAUUUCAAACCGUGCACAAAGCCGGUGAGCGGAAUCCAGAGAACUUUUCCUUCCACGGGUCCAAACAGGAGAGUGAUGUGGGCUACUCAUAUCCGACAGAGCCAUAAAGUUUGAGUUCUUCUCCUCCAAGUUCUCCAGCACACUUGGAUGGUGCCCACGGCCUUGGGAACCUCUAAUCAUCUUUCUUCCUAACCUACUCGGGAAGCUGAGGCAGGAGAAUCGCUUGAACCCAGAGGCGGAGGCUGCAGUGAGCCGAGAUCACACCAUUGCACUCCAGCCUGGGCAACACAGGGAGACUCCAUCUCAAAAAAAAAAUACAGAAUUCAUCUGAUCCUGCCUUGCCUUGGAGCCAAUGCUAUUCCCUAUGCCAGGAAUUCCAACCACCCGCCUGAUGGCCCUGUGAGCAAUCCACCCUGGGGGACCAGCUCCUAUGACCUCCCUUUCAUGGAGGCCCUCCUGAUCCAACAGGUCACGCAGACACCCGUUCCUGCUGGGCUCCCCACUAGCCCCCAAGCCCCCUCUGGUAGGACCCACCUUGCCUGUCUCUGUCCCGGUGCUGACCACCGCUGAUUCCAUACCUCAGCACAGAGGUGGAGGCAUGUACAUGCACGCACGCACACACUCUCACACGCAGGCGCAUGCCAGGGCUAGCUCCCUCACGCCCACUCAUGCACACACACUCCUUCCGGAGAGCUCACUGACACGCACAGGCACACACACGCGCACACACACACGUGCACACACACACACCCUGGGGCUUGCUCAGCUUUGCUACGAAGGGCCCCUUGGGCUCAGGCCGCUGACCCUGCGGCUCCUGACACUCCCAGUCCAGGGUCCCCUUGGCCUCCCCCUGAGCCUGGCUGGACUUCGGCCUGAUCAGGGUCCCUCAGUGGAGCUGUGACCUUCUUUUCCUCCCUCUAGAAGCUCCUGAGAGACCAGCAAGGGUGUUGAGAUAAGGAUGGCGGA